rnacentral:rRNA from 1 species
UACGGAGGGGGCUAGCGUUGUUCGGAAUUACUGGGCGUAAAGCGCGCGUAGGCGGACCUGCAAGUCGGGGGUGAAAGCCCGAGGCUCAACCUCGGAACUGCCUUCGAUACUGCGGGUCUCGAGUCCGGGAGAGGUGAGUGGAAUUCCUAGUGUAGAGGUGAAAUUCGUAGAUAUUAGGAAGAACACCAAGUGGCGAAGGCGGCUCACUGGCCCGGUACUGACGCUGAGGCGCGAAAGCGUGGGGAGCAAACAGG